rnacentral:rRNA from 1 species
GCAAGCGUUGUCCGGAAUUAUUGGGCGUAAAGGGCUCGCAGGCGGUUUCUUAAGUCUGAUGUGAAAGCCCCCGGCUCAACCGGGGAGGGUCAUUGGAAACUGGGGAACUUGAGUGCAGAAGAGGAGAGUGGAAUUCCACGUGUAGCGGUGAAAUGCGUAGAGAUGUGGAGGAACACCAGUGGCGAAGGCGACUCUCUGGUCUGUAACUGACGCUGAGGAGCGAAAGCGUGGGGAGCGAACAGGAUUAGAUACCCUGGUAGUCCACGCCGUAAACGAUGAGUGCUAAGUGUUAGGGGGUUUCCGCCCCUUAGUGCUGCAGCUAACGCAUUAAGCACUCCGCCUGGGGAGUACGGUCGCAAGACUGAAACUCAAAGGAAUUGACGGGGGCCCGCACAAGCGGUGGAGCAUGUGGUUUAAUUCGAAGCAACGCGAAGAACCUUACCAGGUCUUGACAUCCUCUGACAAUCCUAGAGAUAGGACGUCCCCUUCGGGGGCAGAGUGACAGGUGGUGCAUGGUUGUCGUCAGCUCGUGUCGUGAGAUGUUGGGUUAAGUCCCGCAACGAGCGCAACCCUUGAUCUUAGUUGCCAGCAUUCAGUUGGGCACUCUAAGGUGACUGCCGGUGACAAACCGGAGGAAGGUGGGGAUGACGUCAAAUCAUCAUGCCCCUUAUGACCUGGGCUACACACGUGCUACAAUGGACAGAACAAAGGGCAGCGAAACCGCGAGGUUAAGCCAAUCCCACAAAUCUGUUCUCAGUUCGGAUCGCAGUCUGCAACUCGACUGCGUGAAGCUGGAAUCGCUAGUAAUCGCGGA